AGGAUUAUGUGAAUGUCUUCUAUUUCACUCAAGAUCAACUUUUUUCCUCAUAGGAUUAUACUCAGUUUUGCUGGUUAUCUCUGCCUAUUUGUCGAGGAUCCAAAUGUCAUGACCUGGGUUGGUCUGGGCAUGCCCAGUUCAGUUUCAGGUACUGGAGAUGAACCCCACAGGCCAAGGUUUUCAAGCCAUGAUGACCUUGGAGCCAAGAUUAUAAGCUCAGGAGUGUGGCCAGCCACCCCAGCACGGAUGCCCUGAGAAGACAGUGUGUCUGGGACUCAAGCCCAAAGGUGGUUUUGGACUCGGAACAUGGACUAUGUUCUAUGAGAACCAAGCUAAGCUAUGAACCUAAUCCCCCUCCCCACUCCAGAAACUGAAGUUGGGAGGGAGGUAGCAGAGAAGAGGAUUUAGCCUCCUACAUGUUGGGGGAAUAAGUUUAUAUAUUUGUGAUUAUAUCUUUUGAAGUAAACAUGUCUGUGUAAAAGUU